rnacentral:rRNA from 1 species
UCCAGUUGAUCCUGCUGGAGGGUACUGCUAUCGGAGUUCGACUAAGCCAUGCAAGUCUAACCCUAGGACUUCCUGGGGUGGCAGACUGCUGAGUAACACGUAGUCAAUCUACCCUAUAGACGGGGAUAACCUCGAGAAAUUGAGGAUAAUACCCGAUAUUCCUCUUAUGCUGGAAUGCUUAGAGGUUUAAAUGGGCGGUGAAUUGGAGCCGUUCCGCUGUAGGACGAGACUGCGGGGGAUUAUGGUUGUUGGUAGGGUAAUGGCUUACCAAGCCGAUAAUCUCUAGGGGCCAUGAGAGUGGUGGCCCCCAGAAGGACACUGAGACAAGGGUCCUAGCCCUACGGGGUGCAGCAGGCGCGAAACCUCUACAAUGCUGGAAACAGUGAUAGGGGGACUCCGAGUGGCGUCGGCUAAGCUGGCGUCUUUUGCCAAGUGUAAAUAGCUUGGAGAAUAAGGGUGUGGGCAAGACUGGUGGCAGCCGCCGCGGUAACACCAGCGCCUCAAGUGGUACCCACGAAUACUGGGCCUAGAGCGUUCGUAGCCGGCCAAAUAAGUCUUCUGUGAAAUAGUAGGGCUUAACCCUACUGCGCGCAGGAGAUACUGUUUGACUUGGGAACGGGGGAGGUCAGGAGUACACCCGGGGUAGGGGUAAAAUCCUUUGAGCCUGGGUGGACUACCAGUGGCGAAGGCGCCUGACCAAAACGUGUCCGACGGUGAGGAACGAAAGCUGGGGGAGCGAACGGGAUUAGAUACCCCGGUAGUCCCAGCCGUAAAUGAUGCAGACUGUGGUGUUGCUUCAGAGUUAAUCUGCAGCAGUGCUGUAGCGUAGGUGUUAAGUCUGCCGCCUGGGGAGUACGGCCGCAAGGUUGAAACUUAAAGGAAUUGGCGGGGGAGCACCACAAGGGGUGGAUGCUACGGUUUAAUUGGAUACAACGCCGUGAACUUCACCAAGGGCGACGGCAGAAUGAAGGUCAGACUAAAGAUCUUACCUAACAAGCCGAGAGGUGUUGCAUGGCCAUCGUCAGCUCGUGGCGUGAGUUGUCAGGUUAAGUCCUGCAACGAGCGAGACCCAUACCAUUAAUUGCUACUUUUACCUUUAGUAAGAGGCACCUUAAUGGGACUGCCCGCGUUAAGUGGGAGGAAGGAGUGGGCGACGGUAGGUCAGUAUGGCCCGAAUCCCUUGGGCUACACGCGGCAUACAAUGGCUGGAACAAUGGGUUGCUACUCCGAAAGGAGACGCUAAUCCCCUAAAUCCAGUCUUAGUUCGGAUUGAGGGUUGAAACUCACCCUCAUGAAGCUGGAAUCCCUAGUAAUCGCGUGUCAUCAUCGCGCGGUGAAUACGUCCCCGCUCCUUGCACACACCGCCCGUCAAGUCACCCAAAUGUGGUGUAGGUGAGGCUCCGGUUUCUGCCGGAUUCGAACCUAUGUUGCGUGAGGGGGGCUAAGUCGUAGCAAGGUA